UACAGAGGUCUCAAGCGUUGUUCGGAUUCAUUGGGCGUAAAGGGUGCGUAGGUGGCCAGGUAAGUCGGAUGUGAAAUCCCGGGGCUCAACCCCGGAACUGCGAUUCGAUACUGCCCGGCUUGAGUACUGGAGAGGAGAUUGGAAUUUACGGUGUAGCAGUGAAAUGCGUAGAUAUCGUAAGGAAGACCAGUGGCGAAGGCGGAUCUCUGGACAGUUACUGACACUGAGGCACGAAGGCCAGGGAGCAAACGGG
rnacentral:rRNA from 1 species